rnacentral:rRNA from 1 species
AGGAUGAACGCUGGCGGCGUGCCUAAUACAUGCAAGUCGAGCGCCCCUUUAAGAGGUGACAAUCAACGAUUGUCGGUUCCUAUGGGGAGCGGCGGACGGCUGAGUAACGCGUGGGAACGUGCCCCAAAGUGAGGGAUAAGCACCGGAAACGGUGUCUAAUACCGCAUAUGAUCUUCGGAUUAAAGCUUUAUGCGCUUUGGGAGCGGCCUGCGUCCUAUUAGAUAGUUGGUGAGGUAAAGGCUCACCAAGUCAACGAUGGGUAGCUGGUCUGAGAGGAUGACCAGCCAGACUGGAACUGAGACACGGUCCAGACUCCUACGGGAGGCAGCAGUAAGGAAUCUUCACAAUGGGCGAAAGCCUGAUGGAGCAACGCCGCGUGCAGGAUGAAGGCCUUCGGUCGUAAACUGCUUUUAUGAGUGAAGAAUAUGAACGGUAACUCAUGAAAGUAAGGUACGGCUAACUACGUGCCAGCAGCCGC